AGUGAACGCUGGCGGUAGGCCUAACACAUGCAAGUCGAAUGGCAGCACAGUAAGAGUUUGCUCCUACGGGUGGCGAGUGGCGGACGGGUGCGGAAUACAUCGGAAUCUAUUUUUUCGCGGGUGAUAACGUAGGGAAACUUACUCUAAUACCGCACACGACCUACGGGUGAUAGCAGCGGAUCUUCGGACCUUGCGCGAUUGAAUGAGCCGAUGUCGGAUUAGCUAUCUGGCGGGGGAAAGGCCCACCAAGGCGACGAUCCGUAGCUGGACUGAGAGGAUGAUCAGCCACACUGGAAGUGAGAACGGGUCCAGGCUCCUAGGGGAGGCGGCCUUGGGGAGUAUUGGACAAUGGGCGCAGGCCUGAUCCAGCCAUACCGCGUGGCUGAAGAAGGACUUCGGGUUGUAAAACCCUUUUGUUGGGAAAGAAAAGCAGCAGGUGAAUACCACGCUGUUCUGACGGUACCCAAAGAAUAAGCAACGGCUAACUUCGUG
rnacentral:rRNA from 1 species